rnacentral:rRNA from 1 species
GACGAACGCUGGCGGCGUGCUUAACACAUGCAAGUCGAACGGAAAGGCCCUGCUUGCCGGGUACUCGAGUGGCGAACGGGUGAGUAACACGUGGGUGAUCUGCCCUGCACUUCGGGAUAAGCUUGGGAAACUGGGUCUAAUACCGGAUAGGAGCCAUCUUUAGUGUGGUGGUUGGAAAGUUUUUUCGGUGUAGGAUGAGCUCGCGGCCUAUCAGCUUGUUGGUGGGGUAAUGGCCUACCAAGGCGGCGACGGGUAGCCGGCCUGAGAGGGUGUACGGCCACAUUGGGACUGAGAUACGGCCCAGACUCCUACGGGAGGCAGCAGUGGGGAAUAUUGCACAAUGGGCGCAAGCCUGAUGCAGCGACGCCGCGUGGGGAUGAAGGCCUUCGGGUUGUAAACUCCUUUCGCUAGGGACGAAGCUUUUUUGUGACGGUACCUAGAUAAGAAGCACCGGCUAACUACGUG